GUGCUCUUUGGCAACUCAUACACUAAACCUGGAACAGUACAGACCAUUAGCAUGGCCCCUGUGCAAGGCUAACAUGCAAAUUCAUGCAGCAUUUUAUAUUUUU